rnacentral:rRNA from 1 species
GACGAACGCUGGCGGCGUGCUUAACACAUGCAAUUCGAACGGAAAGGCCCUGCUUUUGUGGGGUGCUCGAUUGGCGAACGGGUGAUUAACACUUGAGUAACCUGCCCUUGACUUUGGUAUAACUUCAGGAAACUGGGUCUAAUACCGGAUAGUAGCUCCUUCUGCAUGGUGGGGGUUGGAAAGUUUCGGCGGUUGGGGAUGGACUCGCGGCUUAUCAGCUUGUUGGUGGGGUAGUGGCUUACCAAGGCUUUGACGGGUAGCCGGCCUGAGAAGGUGACCAGGGACAAGGGGACUAAGGUACGGACCAGAGGGCAACGGGAGGCAGCAGUGGGGAGUAUUGCACAAUGGGCGGGAGCCUGAUGCGACAACGCCGGGUGCGGGAUGACGGCCUUCGGGGUGUAAACCGCUUUCGCCUGUGACGAAGCGUGAGUGACGGUAAUGGGUAAAGAAGCACCGGCUAACUACGUG